rnacentral:rRNA from 1 species
GACAGAGGUGCCGAGCGUUAGGCGGAAUCACUGGGCUUAAAGCGUGUGUAGGCGGGUCCGUAAGUACCUUGUGAAAUCCCACGGCUCAACCGUGGAACCGCUGGGUAUACUGGUUGUCUUGAGCCGGCUAGGGGCGAGCGGAACAGACGGUGGAGCGGUGAAAUGCGUAGAUAUCGUCUGGAACGCCGAAGGUGAAAACAGCUCGCUGGGGCCGCGCUGACGCUGAGACACGAAAGCCAGGGGAGCGAACGGG